rnacentral:rRNA from 1 species
UACGGGGGGGGCAAGCGUUGUUCGGAAUUACUGGGCGUAAAGGGCUCGUAGGUGGCCAACUAAGUCAGACGUGAAAUCCCUCGGCUUAACCGGGGAACUGCGUCUGAUACUGGACGGCUUGAGUUUGGGAGAGGGACGCGGAAUUCCAGGUGUAGCGGUGAAAUGCGUAGAUAUCUGGAGGAACCCCGGUGGCGAAGGCGGCGUCCUGGACCAACACUGACACUGAGGAGCGAAAGCCAGGGGAGCAAACGGG